CCCUUAGAUGUUCUGGGCCGCACACGCGCUACACUGAAGGAGGCAGCGUGUACUCCUGGAUCGAAAGAUUUGGGUAACCCGCGAAUCUCCUUCGUGCUAGGGAUUGAGGUUUGCAAUUAUCCUUCAUGAACGAGGAAUUCCCAGUAAGUGCAAGUCAUAAGCUUGCGCUGACUACGUCCCUGCCCUUUGUACACACCGCCCGUCGCUCCUACCGAUUGGGUGAUCCGGUGAACUAGUCGGAUGGAGGUUUUGCAAUUUUUGCUUAGCCGCUAGAAGACUUGUAAACCUUAUCAUUUAGAGGAAGGAGAAGUCGUAACA
rnacentral:rRNA from 1 species